rnacentral:rRNA from 1 species
AUUGAACGCUGGCGGCAGGCCUAACACAUGCAAGUCGAGCGGAUGAGUGGAGCUUGCUCCAUGAUUCAGCGGCGGACGGGUGAGUAAUGCCUAGGAAUCUGCCUGGUAGUGGGGGACAACGUUUCGAAAGGAACGCUAAUACCGCAUACGUCCUACGGGAGAAAGCAGGGGACCUUCGGGCCUUGCGCUAUCAGAUGAGCCUAGGUCGGAUUAGCUAGUAGGUGAGGUAAAGGCUCACCUAGGCGACGAUCCGUAACUGGUCUGAGAGGAUGAUCACUCACACGGGAACUGAGACACGGUCCAGACUCCUACGGGAGGCAGCAGGGGGGAAUAUUGGACAAUGGGCGAAAGCCUGAUCCAGCCAUGCCGCGUGUGUGAAGAAGGUCUUCGGAUUGUAAAGCACUUUAAGUUGGGAGGAAGGGCAGUAAGUUAAUACCUUGCUGUUUUGACGUUACCAACAGAAUAAGCACCGGCUAACUUCGUGCCAGCCGCCGCCGUAA